AGAGUUUGAUCAUGGCUCAGGACGAACGCUGGCGGCGUGCUUAACACAUGCAAGUCGAGCGGUAAGGCCCUUCGGGGUACACGAGCGGCGAACGGGUGAGUAACACGUGGGUGACCUGCCCUCAGCUCUGGGAUAAGCCUGGGAAACUGGGUCUAAUACCGGAUAUGACUCUCAAUCGCAUGGUUGUGAGUGGAAAGUUUUUCGGCUGGGGAUGGGCCCGCGGCCUAUCAGCUUGUUGGUGGGGUGAUGGCCUACCAAGGCGACGACGGGUAGCCGGCCUGAGAGGGCGACCGGCCACACUGGGACUGAGACACGGCCCAGACUCCUACGGGAGGCAGCAGUGGGGAAUAUUGCGCAAUGGGCGAAAGCCUGACGCAGCGACGCCGCGUGGGGGAUGACGGCCUUCGGGUUGUAAACCUCUUUCGACCGGGACGAAGCGCAAGUGACGGUACCGGUAGAAGAAGCACCGGCCAACUACGUGCCAGCAGCCGCGGUAAUACGUAGGGUGCGAGCGUUGUCCGGAAUUAUUGGGCGUAAAGAGCUCGUAGGCGGUCUGUCGCGUCGGUCGUGAAAACUUGGGGCUUGACCCUGAGCUUGCGGUCGAUACGGGCAUGACUGGAGUUCGGCAGGGGAGACUGGAAUUCCUGGUGUAGCGGUGAAAUGCGCAGGUAUCAGGAGGAACACCGGUGGCGAAGGCGGGUCUCUGGGCCGAUACUGACGCUGAGGAGCGAAAGCGUGGGGAGCGAACAGGAUUAGAUACCCUAGUAGUCC
rnacentral:rRNA from 1 species